rnacentral:rRNA from 1 species
UACGAGGGGGGCGAGCGUUUGUUCGGAAUUAUUGGGCGUAAAGGGUGCGUAGGCGGUUUGGUAAGUCUUAUGUGAAAUCUACAGGCUCAACCUGUAGUCUGCAUGAGAAACUGCCGGGCUUGAGUGUGGGAGAGGUGAGUGGAAUUCCUGGUGUAGCGGUGAAAUGCGUAGAUAUCAGGAGGAACACCUGUGGCGAAAGCGGCUCACUGGACCAUAACUGACGCUGAUGCACGAAAGCUAGGGGAGCAAACAGG